rnacentral:rRNA from 1 species
AACGAACGCUGGCGGCAGGCUUAACACAUGCAAGUCGAACGCCCCGCAAGGGGAGUGGCAGACGGGUGAGUAACGCGUGGGAAUCUACCGUACCCUACGGAAUAACGCAUGGAAACGGGUGCUAAUACCGUAUACGCCCUACGGGGGAAAGAUGUAUCGGGGUAUGAUGAGCCCGCGUUGGAUUAGCUAGUUGGUGGGGUAAAGGCCUACAAAGGCGACGAUCCAUAGCUGGUCUGCGAGGAUGAUCAGCCACAUUGGGACUGAGACACGGCCCAAACUCCUACGGGAGGCAGCAGUGGGGAAUAUUGGACAAUGGGCGCAAGCCUGAUCCAGCCAUGCCGCGUGAGUGAUGAAGGUCUUAGGAUUGUAAAGCUCUUUCACCGGAGAAGAUAAUGACGGUAUCCGGAGAAGAAGCCCCGGCUAACUUCGUGCCAGCCGCCGCCGUAAAAC